GGGGAGGUGCCAGAGUGGCUGAUUGGGGCCGCCUGCUAAGCGGUUGUCGGGGUAACUCUCGACCGUGGGUUCGAAUCCCACCUUCCCCG
rnacentral:tRNA from 1 species